CCCACCUGGAGGACCAGCCGAUGUGGAUAUGCUGUUUAUCACUCAGGUGACAGGGGAGUGCCCCAGUGGCAGUGGAUAGGGCAGGAAACUGCACCUAGCCCCUGGCCUUGGUGCUACUUACAGAGCUGGAGAGGGGGUAGCAACAGUAAAGGGAACAGCGGGGCAUGUGAAAACUCUACACCUUUGUGAUAAACGCAGGAGCCUUGAGACACAGGGACCUUGAGAGGGCUGGGACAUGCAGAUACAGACUGUUUCCCUCAUUCCUUAUGGCUGCUGGCCAGUCAGCCAUUUGUUCCCUGAUGUUGCAGAGGGACCACGUCCUGAGUUACCUGACACUCCACACUGACAUUGCUCCUCCACCUUACAAUCUUUGCAUUAGUCCUCCUGGUCAGGGAGUCCCUGGGUGAUCCUGGCACGUUGCAUCCAUAUGCUGCAAAUACAGUACAGGCUACUACUCCUCCAGAAGAACAGAAUAAAGUGAAGGCCAAGGAAGACAUGACUCAUCUUACCUGACCAGACAAGUCCUAAGAAUCUGACAAAGAAGCCAGGACCCUGCUUGUGUGGGGAUAUGGAAGUCUCUUCCCACCUGAUCUAAGGGAGACGAGGGAGUGGGAUCUGAGGCUGGAACAGAGAGGCUGUUGGCUGAUUCUUCUAAAGCAGGGUUAGAUGGAAUCCCUGAAGUAUCACCAUCUUGAUAUGGGAUUGUUAUAUCCAAUUCAACCAUCUAGUCCUGGCAACAAGUCCAUUCAGCCAAACCUUUGAGUCUCGUUUCAGGAGGUGGCAGUGCAGACGGGCUUCUAAAAUGAGGCCUAUGCUAUGUAAACAAGCAACCAGGUGUGAAAACAGAAAGAAUGUAAAGGUUAAUGAACACAGCAGAUCAAAAACUAGCUUCUGAGUCUGCAAGAAUGUCAGAUGAGAAGACUUCCAAACGCAGGUCUUUUGCUGAAAUGAAAUUAAGCAGUGACAAUCUGAUAGAUCCUCUUUGCACUUUAAAUGUCUCUGCUGAUGUCAUCAGGUACUCAGGCAAAUUCUGUAUGGCAGCUACUGCAUAAGUACUUCUCAUAAUUCUAAAGCAAAGGAUGAAAGAAAAAUAAAAUUCUAGUUUGAAAGAAAACUAGAAAAAUUCAGGAUCCAGUCUAGUUAAUAGUUAAAUAAAAUUUUACAGACAUUCACUGUAUUAAGUCUAAUUUCCAUAAUUGUAUAUAAUAGCUUUUAUUGAAAGGUAUUUUCUCUAAAAUCACUGUCAUUUUUAUUAGAGCCAAAUCAAGACCAAUUUAUUUACUGCAUUAAGUCUAGUUUCAGUUUGGCUCGAUUAUUUGCAGAAACGUAACAGGACUAGGAACUGAUCAUACAAGCUUUCUUAAAUCUACUUUGCUGGAACAGUACAAAGAAUUCCUAGGUAGAGCUUUAGCCCCUCAAGUUCUCGAGGUCCCCAAAAUGUCUUGAGGUUCCUUCCUUGCCAUCUUACAGGAAAGCAACUUUCGCUCCUUACCUGGAAAGAGUGCCAUGAACCACGUGACCAAGCAAGGUACCCGGCUGUUUCUCCAAGGGCUCUUAUUGGCUUCAAAAGUCAAUCUCAAUUCCUUUAGGUUUUCGGGUGACACCCAGAGCCCAGGCAUGACUCUUUUAAUCAUGACAUUCCAGACAAAGACUUGGUUAAUAAAACCACAAUUGGAAAUUGGCUUUAUGUGACAUUUUAUAAAGAAAUCAGAUUCUUACUGGAUUCAUGCAAACAAACAUAUGGAAAGAGUAACAGCACACUUAAUUAAGACUUCCAAAUUCCAGAGGGAUCUGGUAGGGAGAAAAAUACAAUUGCUUCAAAAUUGCUUAUGAAAGUGUAGUUUUAAGAGAAAAAAUAUUUUCUUUUUUUAAAUUUAAAUUAUUUUAUUGUUCAGUUACAGUUGUCUGUAUUUUCUCCCCACCCCUCCCCCCAACCCUCUCCAAACCCACUUUCCUCCCUUGCUUCCACCCUCCCCCUUGGUUUUUUGUCCAUGUGUCAAAAAAGGCUUUCUUAUGUCUAGAAAACAAAAAAUUAAAAGUUAACAGUAUUUUUCAACAAAAAGUUAUAAAACUCACAAUUAUCUUCAAUUUAUUGUGUCCCAUAAUUAGUUUCUGUUACUCUGAUCAUCUGCAAGCACCUCGAUAAAUCCACUUACUUUAUGGAGCUCCAGCAGUCUCUACAUAGUUCAAAGAGACAGAGAAGAAGGGAGAGAGAAACACCAGUAUGAGAGAAGCAUUGAUGGGUUGCCUCUGUACGCACCCAGAUGGAGGAUUGUGCCUGGACCAGAUCUCUGGCAUUGAGAGAUGUCUUUCCAAUUGGCAGCGGACAGACGAACCCAGCAGUUGCAACACCAAAGACUGUGGUCCAGGCUCUGAGGAUCUAUCUCAGUUCAUCUGUUCCGGCCUCUUCUUCUACCUCUCCCUGAGCUGCAGCCACACAGUACCACUGUGUUCUCCUGGGAUAUGAACUUGGACAACACUCAGUCUCUGCAAGGGGCUCAAACUCCUUGCCCUCUGUAUCUAUGAGAGUUGGUUCACACCCACUUCCUGUACUUCUGGACUUUCACUUGGAUAAAUAAAAAUAUAUAAUUCUGGAA